rnacentral:tRNA from 2 species
GGAGGGUUGUCCGAGUCUGGUUUAAGGAGCUGGUCUUGAAAACCAGUGUGGCUUCGCGGUCACCGUGGGUUCGAAUCCCACACCCUCCGCCA